AGUGAACGCUGGCGGUAGGCCUAACACAUGCAAGUCGAACGGCAGCACAGUAAGAGCUUGCUCUUACGGGUGGCGAGUGGCGGACGGGUGAGGAAUACAUCGGAAUCUACUUUUUCGUGGGGGAUAACGUAGGGAAACUUACGCUAAUACCGCAUACGACCUACGGGUGAAAGCAGGGGAUCUUCGGACCUUGCGCGAUUGAAUGAGCCGAUGUCGGAUUAGCUAGUUGGCGGGGUAAAGGCCCACCAAGGCGACGAUCCGUAGCUGGUCUGAGAGGAUGAUCAGCCACACUGGUACUGAGACACGGUCCAGACUCCUACGGGAGGCAGCAGUGGGGAAUAUUGGACAAUGGGCGCAAGCCUGAUCCAGCCAUACCGCGUGCGUGAAGAAGGCCUUCGGGUUGUAAAGCCCUUUUGUUGGGAAAGAAAAGCAGCAGGUUAAUACCCCGCUGUUCUGACGGUACCCAAAGAAUAAGCACCGGCUAACCUCGUG
rnacentral:rRNA from 1 species